GUUAUAUGUGUAAUUAGAUUGAAGCAAGAGCUUUAAAAAAGAAUGGUAGCUCUUGAAAUCAAGGAGGAAAGCUUGAUUCAGUAAACUGCACUUUAUUAAAAUUAUCUACGAACAGACCAAUAUGCGUGUAUUCUGUCAAAUAUAAACAAAUCAAGUUGGUCAUAAUCAAUGUCAAAAGAACAUACUCAGUGUGGAUACAUUUUUUUCCCUGGGUCCCAAUUUUUCAUGGAUUGAUGAAAAUUUGGAUUUUCGUAGAUAUUUGAAUGCAUGGUUUUGCCGAAGUCUGUAUACAUUCUUUAAGAAAAUUUGUAUACGUUGUACAUUGGAAUUCCAGGUUCCCUAAAAAAUAUGGAGAAAGGGGGUGAACAUUAUUGGUCCAUCAAAACAGAGAACAUCAUGGGGAAAUGAAAAGCACAAACAGACAAUGACAAUUACAAACCAUUACACAUUACACAGAAAAACUAAAGAUAAAUAAAAAACACUUUGUCUGAGUUACCAUCAGUGACCAAGGAUAAAUUGUGACCCAGGUAUAAACGUUAAAAUGAAGUAUAAGAUAAUCAGAAUAUACAUAGGGGAAUCCCUUUUGCAUGUUUGUGGGAUUCAUUUGGUUGAUUAUUCAUGUUCAGGGAAUCACUGAAGCAUGAAGGGAAUCACUGAAGCAUGAAGGGAAUCACUGAAGCAUGAAGGGAGCCCCCUCCAUGGUCAGUCAGUGACCCCCCCUUUUAUAUAAAGUUCUGGAUCUGCCACUGAUAUAUUAUUGUCCCCAGGCAUAAGAUGUUUUAAUUUGAUAAACACCACAUGGCAUGGUUUUAAUUGUCAAAACUUUUUCUGAUAAAUGAUAAUGCUUUUACAUAAAUAGCAAUAUUUUUGAGACAUGUUGCUAACAAUUAUGAGCAUGCUUGACUGGUAGUAGUCUUUAUGAUAAUUAUAUUUACAGAUAGAAACAAAGUAUUAUUAUGUCAAACAGAACUAAAAAAUUGCAAAAAAUGAUUUUUUCUUUCUUUCAGAAAGCCACGUCAUUUUUCUGUUUUUAUUUUCAUUUAUUCUGUCACUGAGUCACUGCUCUUGCAUGAGAUGAUUCAGUAAUAGAAAACAAUUACAACAACAAAUCAUUACUGCAUGCCUUAUAUCACUCUAAUUUUCCAAUUUAUUACAGAAACAAUUUCUGCAGUUGCAUGAUGUAGUAACAGACUAUUCCCAAGAUGUCCAUAUAUUAACGUUUCAAAUCAUAUUUUCAAAAUAAUUUUAAUUAAUAUUUAGGAAAGUUUAUAAAAUAGAUUUAUAAGCAGCUUUAUCAUUUAACUAGCAAAUUUUAUGCUUAUAAGC
rnacentral:lncRNA from 1 species